rnacentral:misc_RNA from 1 species
AAAAUAAUCCUACCCUUUGUGAAUUUGUUUGUUUGAAUAAUUUUUUUUUUAAAAAAUUAUUGGAGUCUUUCCCUUUAGAGUUUGCUUUUGAGUUUGUAAAAGAAUUCGAAAACAUCUAAAGGGGAUGGUCAAUAAUUUUUUUGAAAAAAGACAUUUUUUAAAAUUAAACUUUUUGUAUUCAUUUGUCUAAAAAUUAUUUUUAUAAUAUAAAAACAACUUUUGACAAUGGAUCUCUUGGUUCUCGCAACGAUGAAGAACGCAGCAAAAUGCGAUAAGUAGUGUGAAUUGCAGAAUACGUGAGUCAUCGAAUCUUUGAACGCAUAUUGCACUUUUUUAGUUUACUAAAAAAGUAUGUCUGUUUGAGUAUCAGUAAAAUAUUCUCAUAAAAAUCAUUGUGUAUUUUUAUGGUUAUGAGUGUUUUACAACGAUACAAGUUGUUUCACUUUAAAUUUUUUUUUAAUAUUGAAAUUUUUCUAAUUUUAAUAAUUAAAAUUGGAUAAAAUUUUCCCGUCAAAAGGAAUAACCUAAACAAUUUUAAAUGAUUAAUUUUAGCAAAAUUUUCGAAAAAAAGGAAAAUUUUUAUUAAAAUAACUUGAUCUCAAAUCAGAUAAGAGUACCCGCUGAACUUAAGCAUAUCAAUAAGCGGAGGAAAAGAAACUAACAAGGAUUCCCUUAGUAACGGCGAGUGAAGCGGGAAGAGCUCAAAUUUGAAAUCUUCAAGGUUUUACCUUGACGAAUUGUAGUUUAAAGAAGUGUUUUCUGCUGAAGUUUUGGUAAAAGUUCUUUGGAAUAGGACAUCAUAGAGGGCGAGAAUCCCGUAUUUGACCAUUAUUUUCAGCUUUGUGAUACACUUUCAAAGAGUCGGAUUGUUUGGGAAUGCAGUCCAAAAUGGGUGGUAAAUUUCAUCUAAAGCUAAAUAUGGCGAGAGACCGAUAGCGAACAAGUACCGUGAGGGAAAGAUGAAAAGACUUUGAAAAGAGAGUUAAACAGUACGUGAAAUUGUCAAAAGGGAAGCGUUUGACACCAGUGUUGUUUUCUCGAAAAUCAAUUAAAAAUGGCUCGAUUUUGUAUUGCUGAGACCUUAAAAGCUCACUGUACAUUUUUCGUGUCUUUUUUAAUGCACUUUUCGUUUAACAAGUCAACAUCAGUUUCUUUUGUCGUAAAAGGGUCAUUGGAAGGUGGCUUUCUUUUCGGAGAAAGUGUUUAUAGCCUUUGGCCUCUGCAAUCGGAGAGACUGAGGUCUGCAGCGUAGACUCUUCGGGGUUAGAUACACUUGUGCUAAGUUAUAGCUUUUUAUAGACAACUCGUUGACUAUAAUUAGUCUUGUAGCUUACUCGCUUAUGCUAUUUUACCUACGCUUAGGAUG